CGGACGGGUGAGUAAUGUCUGGGAAACUGCCUGAUGGAGGGGGAUAACUACUGGGAACGGUAGCUAAUACCGCAUAACGUCGCAAGACCAAAGAGGGGGACCUUAGGGCCUCUUGCCAUCGGAUGUGCCCAGAUGGGAUUAGCUAGUAGGUGGGGUAAUGGCUCACCUAGGCGACGAUCCCUAGCUGGUCUGAGAGGAUGACCAGCCACACUGGAACUGAGACACGGUCCAG
rnacentral:rRNA from 1 species